rnacentral:tRNA from 1 species
AUUUAUAUAGUUUAAACUUUAAAACUUUACUUUUCUCAUUGUAAAAAUAAAUUAUUUUAAUUUUAUAAAUU